CAUUGCAUUACUGGGCAAGUCUUGCUUUGGCAGUUGGCAACUCGUAAAUAUCAUACAGAAAUUAAUUUAAGAGUAAGCUCACUGCCAAAGAAGAUUUGCCCCGCAAUUCAUGC
rnacentral:pre_miRNA from 1 species